GAUUGAUGGCUAUACAAGGCUUUUGUAGACACAUGCUGUUAUUGGAUGAAUAUUGUGGACUAAACGAGAAGUUCGCAGCAGGGUAUGUACAAAAUGGUUGGCUAAUGACAGAUGGGAAAUACAUAAUCCAUAGUGAUUAUUGUAGACACCUAACUUUUUCCCUCUCAAAAUCUAAUUCAUCCAUUUUUACCUCACGUUAUCAUACACCCGCACCCAUGUGAUUACACCCCACAAAAAUACAAAAAAAAAAUUACCAACACUUAAUAAAUCUCUAACAAAUUUUAUCUUAUUUUAAUCAUGCUAACAACCUACCCUUACCCCACCCCUACCCCACCUCACCCACGUAACCACCCCUCCCCCAUAUUUCUUUUCCAAAAAGGAAAAAAACAUAUACACACUCAAAUUCCAUCCAAUUGGGGGCCCACAAUGAAGAAAAACAUAUACAAAAGGCAUUUUCCAUUUUUGGGGGAGGGAUCACCAGGGAUUCCUUUCUUUUUCCACUAACAAUAUAUAUUUUCCACACUCAAGAAAAAAAUGAAGUGUGACAGCUCUGGCGACUCCGCUGGGGACAAUUUCAUAUUCGAGCUUAUUGUUUUGGAGUUGCAUCGACUUUGUUUGGCAUUAUGGGUAUAUAGACCUUGUUUGUGUUGUUUUGUGUUAUUAUAUUUUUUUCAUUGUUGAGUUCCUUUGUACUCUUUAUUUAUAGUUUUUAUCUAUGUGUACAACUUCAUAUCUAGCAUCAUGUGCAUAACCCGAGUCAUUCUUUCUGCAAUAAGUCCGUAGUGCACGCUGUGUACACAACCUCUAGUUGAGUCUCCCUUAUCUUGGGAGGGAGAGCCGUCGGCUGGUAUGGAGUGGGUGGAAAGCUAAAGCAGCCACUAUCGAUCAUAUGCUCUCCCGAACAACCUUG
rnacentral:lncRNA from 1 species